AACAGGAUUAGAUACCCUGGUAGUCCACGCUGUAAACGACGUCGACUUGGAGGUUGUGCCCUUGAGGCGUGGCUUCCGGAGCUAACGCGUUAAGUCGACCGCCUGGGGAGUACGGCCGCAAGGUUAAAACUCAAAUGAAUUGACGGGGGCCCGCACAAGCGGUGGAGCAUGUGGUUUAAUUCGAUGCAACGCGAAGAACCUUACCUACUCUUGACAUCCAGAGAAUUUGCUAGAGAUAGCUUAGUGCCUUCGGGAACUCUGAGACAGGUGCUGCAUGGCUGUCGUCAGCUCGUGUUGUGAAAUGUUGGGUUAAGUCCCGCAACGAGCGCAACCCUUAUCCUUUGUUGCCAGCACGUAAUGGUGGGAACUCAAAGGAGACUGCCGGUGAUAAACCGGAGGAAGGUGGGGAUGACGUCAAGUCAUCAUGGCCCUUACGAGUAGGGCUACACACGUGCUACAAUGGCAUAUACAAAGAGAAGCGAACUCGCGAGAGCAAGCGGACCUCAUAAAGUAUGUCGUAGUCCGGAUUGGAGUCUGCAACUCGACUCCAUGAAGUCGGAAUCGCUAGUAAUCGUAGAUCAGAAUGCUACGGUGAAUACGUUCCCGGGCCUUGUACACACCGCCCGUCACACCAUGGGAGUGGGUUGCAAAAGAAGUAGGUAGCUUAACCUUCGGGAGGGCGCUUACCACUUUGUGAUUCAUGACUGGGGUGAAGUCGUAACAAGGUAACC
rnacentral:rRNA from 1 species